rnacentral:rRNA from 1 species
AUUGAACGCUGGCGGCAGGCCUAACACAUGCAAGUCGAACGGUAACAGGAAGCAGCUUGCUGCUUCGCUGACGAGUGGCGGACGGGUGAGUAAUGUCUGGGAAACUGCCUGAUGGAGGGGGAUAACUACUGGAAACGGUAGCUAAUACCGCAUAACGUCGCAAGACCAAAGAGGGGGACCUUAGGGCCUCUUGCCAUCGGAUGUGCCCAGAUGGGAUUAGCUAGUAGGUGGGGUAACGGCUCACCUAGGCGACGAUCCCUAGCUGGUCUGAGAGGAUGACCAGCCACACUGGAACUGAGACACGGUCCAGACUCCUACGGGAGGCAGCAGUGGGGAAUAUUGCACAAUGGGCGCAAGCCUGAUGCAGCCAUGCCGCGUGUAUGAAGAAGGCCUUCGGGUUGUAAAGUACUUUCAGCGGGGAGGAAGGGAGUAAAGUUAAUACCUUUGCUCAUUGACGUUACCCGCAGAAAAAGCACCGGCCAACUCCGUGCCAGCACCCCGCGGUAAUACGGAGGUUGCAACCGUUAUUCGAAAUUACGGGGCUAAAAUCCGUGGCAGGCGUUUUGUUAAUUCAGAUGUGACAUCCCCCGUUCCUCACCGGGGAAAUGGUUCUUAAACAGGCAUCGCUUUAACCUCUUGUAUAGUCGGUUCAAUUUCCGUGGUGCCAGUGAAAUGCCUACCCCCUUUGGACGCAUAACGUGGAUCCCAG